UAGCUAUUAUAGGUCUUAUGUAAGUGGAACAAUCUGUCACUACAGUCAUCGCGCACCGAUUUGAAUUCAUUAAGAAAGCUUAUAUUUAAAAAAAACUGCAUUAAAAGUUAGUUGCACAAAAUUUAAAAAACAUCACCCGAAAAAUGUUCUAUUCUGUAUUUCACAUAAAACAAUGAGAAUGAGAUUACGAAAUAAACUGUAAUCACCAAUUACUGAGCAUAGGUAUGAUUAUCAUAUGAUUGUCGUGUAUUGUAUUUUGACAGAAUUUAAUAAUCUCGGAGGCUUCGAUACAGAUUGAAAAGAGAGACUAUGAGUGUUUAUAGAUAGAGAAAGAUCCAAGAGUGACGGCAUACCUUACUACUGAGCAGAUACUCGAUGAAUUAAUAAUGUUAUGAGAAGUUCAUAGCAACAUUUGUUAUUCAUCCUAUACUUUGUAGCCCUGACCCAAAACACUGUUGCUAGGCGGUGCUGACUGUUACAUUCCGGUCGCCUCACCCUUACUUGACCUACCAUCCGGAUGGAGUCCAAUGACGAAGAAACGAUAUUUUGGAAAUAUAUUUUGAUUCGGAUAGGAACUCUGAUAAUGGAAAAAUAAAGCCCCAGAAAGAAAAUUUUUCAACUAGGAGUGACUAUCAAUCUUCAAGCAAUUAGGAUUUCUCGUGUGUUUUUGGCACUUAAGCUACGCUGUAAAUCAAAAGUAUAUAUUUUAAAAGGACAUUCACUGGGACAAAAAUAUGUUUCGUUGUGUCAUCCUUACAAGAUGGAAUGUGAUGUUUGUAUACAAACUGUUUAUCUUUUAAAAAGGUGAAUGAAUUUACAUUCUGUCCUUGAUGACAAAUCAGCAACGGUUAAAUAAACCAGCUGCGAAAAUAGAAAGUUUCCCGUACUGGUCAUUGGCCGAUAUCCGUUCUAUAUUAGAACGCAUGAAUGUUUCUCCUCAAGACACACGUGUAAGGUGGAUAAACCCUCCUAAGAUCACCAAUUGAACUAAUUGUCAGACUCUUUUUCCAAUAAA